GGGGGUGACCCGGUUUCGACAGGUUCAUCUGAAGGUGAUACGGCGUGUCGAGGUGCCGAUGGCCUCGUAAAAAAUCGGCAAACCCUUUAACUGGCAACGUUAAGUUCCAGCCUACCUACGCCCUCGCUGCUUAAGUGAGGCCAGUCCCGGAAAGCCCCGCCUUCGGCGUUCCGACGACUGCAUAAAUGAAGGCUAGCCCCGGCGACCCCCGUUGACCGGACGCGAAACCCAAAGCGGGGUAAGGUUCGGGAUGCCUGCCCGUGGGCCCGCCCGUUCCCGACAACCAGAGUGCGGGAUACACACGUAGAUGUACACCGGACGGGGACUUGGACGAGAGUUCGAUUCUCUCCACCUCCACCA
rnacentral:tmRNA from 1 species